AAUUAGGUUCCAUUGGAUCGUUAGAGAGGUCAUUAGUCUUUUCUAUGUUUUCAUUGAUAUACUUUGUUCUUGUUUGUAUACAGCAUAAGUGCUUCAUGGUGGCUACUUGUGAUAGAGAGAGACUUGAAGCGAAGAAUUCGAAAGGUUCCUGGUGUUGUAUAAAUCAGUAUAAAUCCAGAUUCUGAGGAGAUGUGGAUGCUCUCUGUUGAGCUUGUAGAUGUCUCAGAUAAGCUUCUUGAACUUAUCCGAAGACCAGGUCUUAAGAAAUGAAAGGUAAACGUAAUGUGUCUAUGUGUUCUUUGAAGCAAAGAAAAACAGUAAUUAUAAGCAACAUAAGUGUUUACUCAUGCAGAAAAGUCUCUGAUACUGUGGUUAGUCAACCUGAAGAGAAUACAGAGGAAAUAGUUGUAGAAGAAGCAGCUUCAGAUAUUGGCUUGGCGCUUGAGAAGGAAAGCACCAUCAAAGAAGUGCCACCAGUGCAAAAAGGGAAGUGGAAAGGCCUUGACCCUGUUGUUUUCUUGAGAGAUGAAACAGUGAUCAACGGGAUCAAGAGAAUCUACGGCAUCAACGAUGAGUCUUUUCCUCUCAACCGUCAUAUCGUGACUAGGAACAGCGACACGAGCAGCUGAAGUUGUUGAGAUUUCUAUAUCAAGACAAUAUAUGGCGACGUGAUUUAAGGAAAGUCAAUAUUCGAGAGUCGAAGGUGGCAAGAAGUAUAAAAGGGACAUGAGACAUGAAGUGAAGGUUAGGUCUUCCACAAAAGAGAAGAAGAGUCUAGCCUUCAAGAUCAAGAAGGGGUUCUUGGGUUGUUACGUAGAGAUCAAGCAACGUGUGUGUUGGCUUGAGUCUCAAGGGUAGUUAGAAAUUGAUCAGACGAGAUACACGUAUGUGUGUGAUCUUGUAACAACAAUACUUGUGGAGUUUGUUCAAUAGAUUUUUAAUAAGAGUACUUGUUAAAAUGA